UACAGGGGGGGCAAGCGUUGUUCGGAAUUACUGGGCGUAAAGGGUCUGUAGGUGGCCAACUAAGUCAGACGUGAAAUCCCUCAGCUUAACUGGGGAACUGCGUCUGAUACUGGAUGGCUUGAGUGCAGGAGAGGAGUGCGGAAUUCCAGGUGUAGCGGUGAAAUGCGUAGAUAUCUGGAGGAACACCGGUGGCGAAGGCGGCAUUCUGGACUGUAACUGACACUGAGAGACGAAAGCCAGGGGAGCAAACGGG
rnacentral:rRNA from 1 species